rnacentral:rRNA from 1 species
UAGAAAGAUUCUGGUUGAUCCUGCCGGAGGCCACCGCUAUUGGAAUUCGCCUAAGCCAUGCGAGUCGAGAGGGGUAAGCCCUCGGCGGAUUGCUCAGUAACACGUGGAUAAUCUGCCCUUGGGUGGGGGAUAAGCUCGGGAAACUGAGGAUAAUACCCCAUAGGUAUAGGAGGCUGGAAUGCACUUAUACUAAAAACUACGGUGCCCAAGGAUGGGUCUGCGGCCUAUCAGGUUGUAGUGAGUGUAACGGACUCACUAGCCGACGACGGGUACGGGUCGUGUAAGCGAUCGCCCGGAGAUGGACUCUGAGACAUUAGUCCAGGCCCUACGGGGCGCAGCAGGCGCGAAAACUUCACAAUGCAGGAAACUGCGAUGAGGGGAUUCCAAGUGCUUAUGCAUUGCAUAUGCUGUUCUGAUGCCUAAAAAGCAUUAGAAGUAAGGGCUGGGUAAGUCGGGUGCCAGCCGCCGCGGUAAUACCCGCAGCCCGAGUGGUGGUCGUUAUUAUUGGGCCUACAGCGUCCGUAGCCGGUCCGGUAAAUCUUUGGGUAAAUCGACGAGCUUAACUCGUCGAAUUCCGAAGAGACUGCCGGACUUGGGACUGGGUGAGGUCGGAGGUACUCUAAGAGUAGGGGUGAAAUCCUGUAAUACUUAGAGGACCACCAGUGGCGAAGGCGUCCGACUAGAACGGGUCUGACGGUGAGGGACGAAGCCGUGGGGCGCAAACCGGAUUAGAUACCCGGGUAGUCCACGGUGUAAACGCUGCAGGCUUGGUGUUGGGGGUCCUACGGGGGCGUCCAGUGCCGGAGAGAAGUUGUUAAGCCUGCCGCCUGGGGAGUACGCUCGCAAGAGUGAAACUUAAAGG